rnacentral:rRNA from 1 species
GGACCCGCACAAGCGGUGGAGCAUGUGGUUUAAUUCGAUGCAACGCGAAAAACCUUACCUACUCUUGACAUACUUGGAAGCUCUUGUAAUGAGAGUGUGCCUUUUGGAGCCAAGAUACAGGUGCUGCAUGGCUGUCGUCAGCUCGUGUCGUGAGAUGUUCCGUUAAGUCGGAUAACGAGCGCAACCCUUACCCUUAUUUGCCAGCGAUUCGGUCGGGAACUAUAAGGGGACUGCCGGUGAUAAACCGGAGGAAGGUGAGGACGACGUCAAGUCAUCAUGGCCCUUACGAGUAGGGCUACACACGUGCUACAAUGGUAUGGACAAUGAGCAGCCACUAUGCGAAUAGAGCG